GCCCGCCUAGCUCAAUCGGAUAGAGCGUCAGACUUUUACGGUCCGUACAAGUCGUACGUGGCAGUGAUCUGAAGGCUGCGAGUUCGACCCUCGCGGUGGGCU